UUCUUCUCAUUUGAUCUCUGUCAAAGAAUUAUUAUUUUCCAACUAAAUAACUCAAAAAAAAAAAAGAAAAAAAAAAGCAGAUAUAUCUAAAUAAUAAACCCAGAUGCGUCGACUUUGAUCAAAUCAGGGAGCUCACAGCUUCCUGGUUGAAGAAGGUCAACUCGGUUAAGGGUGGUGGCAGCGCCGCCGAGUCACGGCCGGCUACGGUUGAGAUAGAAGGGUACAAGCCGGUGAGAGAGAAUAUAUUCCUGCUCAAACGGAUGGAGAGACAAAAAAUAAGGGAAAGAACCAGGGUUCGUGAGGCGGGCGGGACCCACUGGCUGACUACCCGGAGAAAUGGCCGCCGGGCGGAUCCAACUCGGUGGUGGUCUCACGACGUCGUUGGGGGGCGUGAGGCGCAUGUACGAGGAUUGCUACUAGAUGAGGUCGAUUCUGGAGUUACACCGAGUGGUGUUCAACGUGUAAAAGUGGGAUUUGUUUUGUAGAGGAGAUGAAAGAGAUGUAUGUAAGUCUCUAAGUGUUAAUUGGGAAAAUAUAAAGUUGUUCUUUUGGGGUUGCAGAACGAUACAGAAGUAGUGAGAAGAGAGAAAUAGAGGAUAAUUUGGGAGAGAUGAUGAAAUGUUGUAAGCGGAGAUAAACCAGAUCUAUCUAUACAAAUCAUUAACAACUCUAUAUUUUUCAUAAUUAAGUGAUUAUUGGGGCAAAUCUAAAGAUUAACUAUGAUUCUUCCGGCAGAUAUGAGUUUUGAAGGUUGAUGAUGGGGUUGAAUUUUGGUUUAAUCUGGAUCGUGAUACUCAUGAUUAUGGUUGAUGAGGCGACAAUAGAGAUUAUCUGAAGAAUUAGAAAUCAUUUUCUUCUUUGGAUACUGUUUCCUCAGCUUAAUUU
rnacentral:lncRNA from 1 species